GACGAACGCUGGCGGCGUGCUUAACACAUGCAAGUCGAACGGAAAGGCCCUGCUUUUGUGGGGUGCUCGAGUGGCGAACGGGUGAGUAACACGUGAGUAACCUGCCCUUGACUUUGGGAUAACUUCAGGAAACUGGGGCUAAUACCGGAUAGGAACUCCUGCUGCAUGGUGGGGGUUGGAAAGUUUCGGCGGUUGGGGAUGGACUCGCGGCUUAUCAGCUUGUUGGUGGGGUAGUGGCUUACCAAGGCUUUGACGGGUAGCCGGCCUGAGAGGGUGACCGGCCACAUUGGGACUGAGAUACGGCCCAGACUCCUACGGGAGGCAGCAGUGGGGAAUAUUGCACAAUGGGCGGAAGCCUGAUGCAGCAACGCCGCGUGAGGGAUGACGGCCUUCGGGUUGUAAACCGCUUUCGCCUGUGACGAAGCGUGAGUGACGGUAAUGGGUAAAGAAGCACCGGCUAACUACGUG
rnacentral:rRNA from 1 species